rnacentral:lncRNA from 1 species
UUUUAAAUGGGUGAGCAAUUAAUAACCCUUUAUUUUUGGGCAAAAAGGUAGUAACCAUGAGCAGAUGUUGAUGAUUAGUAAUUUAAUUUACUCAUUCAAAUUUAACGUUGUUGGGCGUGGAAAGAAACUUCUUUUCAGGAGGGAGCAGGAAAGCCGAGUGUCUCACAUACCCCUUGUGGAUUACUCACAGUUAAUGACCAUUCCAGCAAACGUUUGUCUUUUCUAAUUUCUCGAUUUCGACAACAUGAUAAAGUGUUCAUAUCAGUCUUGCAUCUCUACCUCUUUAGAUGGAAGACAAAAUGGAGGUGUAUAUGAGAAAAGCAAGACUCCACAAGUCAAGAAAGUUAUUCCAG